AUGCUUUUCCUAAAGAUUAAGCCAUGCAUGCCUAAGACUAUGAGGAAGCAAUUCUCUCUGAAUCUGCGAACGGCUCCGCAAACCAGUUGUAAACCAUAGCAGUGUUCCGCCCGGCUUCAGCAAUGGGGCCGGGCAUUAUAUGGAUAACCGUGGUAAUUCUGAGGCUAAUACAUGACACACCAACCUGCCGGGCUGGGGGCAACUCCGGCUAGGUGGGGGACGUGCAAACUCCCAUUGCUAUAACAAAACCACGAAUGAAUG
rnacentral:rRNA from 1 species